rnacentral:tmRNA from 1 species
GGGGUUGACUGGAUUUGACAGCAAGAUGAGAUGGUACGUAAGCAUGCGGAGCGACGGCUGUGGGCUCCAUAAUCUCGUCGGUCGAACAAUUAAUUGGCGAAAACAACUACGCUCUCGCUGCCUAAACGAAGUACAGUAGUUUACUGGCUUAAUUCCCUUACAAGGUGAGGGAACGAGACAUCGCUCCAAGGAUGUGGUUCCGAAUCUGAGGACUCAGCGGUGCAGGACAAAUCGGAAAUAGUCCCUCGGGUGCUCCGACUGGUGGAUGAAACUUUAGGAGAUAAGGCUGUGAUUGGUGGCUUGGGUCUUGUCACGGCACGAAAAUGAAGGCCAAGAUAAGCAUGUAGAAAGCGUAUGGUUUCCUUGUUUGGACGAGGGUUCGACUCCCUCCAGCUCCACUA